CGGACUUCGCGUUGACGACAGCGCCUCUUUUGCUCUAGGGUUUCUCUCCAGUAUGAUUCUUUGAUAUGGAAUAAGUUGUGAUUUCUGACUGAAGGCUUUCCCACAUUCUUUACAACCAUAAGAUUCUUCUACUGAAUGAAUUUUCCCAUGCUGAAGAUGACCACAGGGUUUCCUACAUUCUUCAUGCUUAAAUGGCUUCUCUCCAGCGUGAGUUCUCUGGUGUUAAGUUGUGGGUUAAGACUGACUGCUUUUCCAUAUUUAUUACACCCCUAAAGGUUCCCUUCACUAUGAAUUAGCUGAUGUUAAGUAAGGCAUGAGCUACAAAGGCUUUCAAACAUUUAUUACAUUUAUAUGGUUUUUCUCCAGUGUGAAUUUUUUUUUUUUUUGACCUCUAAAAUUUAAAGUUUGACUAAAAUCUUUCCCACAUUCAGGGCACCUGUGGGAUUUUUUUCUAGUAUGAAUUUGCUGGUGUAGAAUAAGAUCUGAAUUGUAUUAAAGCUUUGGCCACAUUCAUCA